rnacentral:rRNA from 1 species
GUCGAUGGGCGAAAGCUGCACGCAGCUUGCCGCGUGCGGGAUGAAGGCCUUCGGGUUGUAAACCGCUUUUACCAGGAACGAAAAUGACGGUACCUGGAGAAUAAGGUGCGGCCAACUACGUGCCAGCAGCCGCGGUGACACGUAGGCACCAAGCGUUGUCCGGAUUUAUUGGGCGUAAAGAGCUCGUAGGCGGUUCAGAAAGUCGGGUGUGAAAACUCUGGGCUUAACCCAGAGACGCCACUCGAUACUACUGUGACUAGAGUUCGGUAGGGGAGCAGGGAAUUCCUGGUGUAGCGGUGAAAUGCGCAGAUAUCAGGAGGAACACCGAUGGCGAAGGCACUGCUCUGGGCCGAAACUGACGCUGAGGAGCGAAAGCGUGGGUAGCAAACAGGAUUAGAUACCCUGGUAGUCCACGCCGUAAACGGUGGGCACUAGGUGUGGGUUCCAACCAACGGAAUCCGCGCCGUCGCUAACGCAUUAAGUGCCCCGACUGGGGAGUACGGNCGCAAGGUUAAAACUCAAAGGAAUUGACGGGGGCCCGCACAAGCAGCGGAGCGUGUUGCUUAAUUCGAUGCUACGCGAAGAACCUUAGCUGGGUUUGACAUGUACGG